ensembl:lncRNA
CCCGGCGCGCGUGACGUCAGAGCGAGGGGCGGGGCGGGGCCUCCGGGAAGCCGGCGCAGGAAGCAGAGGCUUAAAAGCUGCUAGAAACCAGUGACUCUUCACCCCGGUGGAUCACUAACAGCAGAACAGACUUGACCUUCAUUUGGCUUCUGUCUCCUUCACCACCUUAAACCUGCGGGUUAGGCCCUUGCUCAGCUCUGCAUAUGGGAAGGACGGGACGUUAAUCCCUCAGGGAACAUCUGCUAAGAGCUGGCGCUGUCAGGUCCCUGGUGCUCCGCUGCCACAACUGACCUCACUCCCUUGGAGAAGGGGCACCAGGUGGAUCCACAGGAUUCCUGUGGGCAGGAGGAGCAGCUGCCCUGCCCAGGCCCUCUCUCUCUCGUACCUGACACCCACAGCUGCUCUGCUGGCUGCUCCUCCGUUCUGUCCCGCGUCAUGGUCUCAGAAAUGAGCUCGGUGUUUCCACAGGCUGCUCCCAAGUACAGGUCUGAUGACUCAGAUGCUGCCUGUCGUGGACAUCAGGGCCAGCACAGCUUCUAGACAUCCUCUUAGCGGAAGAACAGAAAACGGGAACUGGCAAGGAAGUCACAGUAAUUCUUCAACUGUGUCCGGGCACCAAUGCAGGCUUUGCACUUAGUCACCGUCACCCCGUCUGUCAGACACACCCAUGAUUUCCUCACCAGUGACUUUUACUCGGACGGCAUGAAGUUAAAAAGUAAAGAUACACAUAAUUUGGAUGCUGGCAGGCAGCAGAGGAGAAUGGGAUCCAGGAACCUGAGUUCGACGAGGUUGAAGGGACAGGUCUCAGUUUCUUGUCGACUGAAGAGCUCACCAACCUUUAGGUCUCCUGGUUUCCAAGCCAGCGGUCUUUCUAAGACUCCAAGCCAGGCUGUCCGAAUACCAUGUAUUCAGAAUACUCCUGUAACCUCAGCACCUGGGAGGCUGAGGGAGGAGGCUGCCCAUGAGUUCAAGGACAGCCUGAGCUCCAUAGUGAGUUCAAGGCCAGCCUGGAAUACAGAGUGAGACCCUGUCUCAAACAAACAACAAACAAACAAGCAUUUCUUCACACUGUUUUAAUUAAUUCAGCUGGCUAAAUCCCAAGAAUGGAUAAGCCUGUCUCAGAGUUAGAGACAGCAAGUCAGUCCAAAGCAAUCUGACAUUCCUCUAAAACUGAAUAGAUUUGAAGUGCAACAUCCUUGGGCUGUGAUCUCAUUUCCUGUUUAAAAAAAUACUACAAAUGAGCUCUUCUGUACGGGCACUCAUUAUAUCUUAGCUUUAUUAAUUCUAUCAUAUUGCCGG